rnacentral:rRNA from 1 species
GAGCGGCGCACGGGUGAGUAACACGUGAAUAAUCUGCCGUCAGGCCGGGAGUAACAGACCGAAAGGACUGCUAAUACCCGAUAAGCUUCCGCACCAACCGGGUGAGUGGAGAAAAGUAGUGGGAUCGCAAGACCACAUACCAGAAGAUGAGUUCGCGUUCCAUUAGAUAGUUGGCGGGGUAAUGGCCACCAAGUCGACGAUGGAUAGCUGGUCUGAGAGGAUGAUCAGCCACACUGGGACUGAGACACGGCCCAGACUCCUACGGGAGGCAGCAGUGGGGAAUCUUGCGCAAUGGACGAAAGUCUGACGCAGCCAUGCCGCGUGAGUGAUGAAAAGGCCUUCGGGUUGUAAAGCUCUGUCUAAGGGAAAAAACGUCAUCAUAGCGAACAGAGAUGGUGAGUGAUGGUACCCUUAAAGAAAGCACCGGCUAACUCCGUGCCAGCAGCUGC